rnacentral:rRNA from 1 species
UACGUAGGGUGCGAGCGUUAAUCGGAAUUACUGGGCGUAAAGCGUGCGCAGGCGGUUUUGUAAGCCAGAUGUGAAAUCCCCGGGCUUAACCUGGGAAUGGCAUUUGGGACUGCAAGGCUCGAGUGCGGCAGAGGAGACUGGAAUUCCUGGUGUAGCAGUGAAAUGCGUAGAUAUCGAGAGGAACACCUGCGGCGAAGGCGGGUUGCUGGGCUGACACUGACGCUGAACUGCGAAAGCUAGGGGAGCGAACGGG